rnacentral:rRNA from 1 species
GGGUUGUGAGGUUAAGCGACUAAGCGUACACGGUGGAUGCCCUGGCAGUCAGAGGCGAUGAAGGGCGUGCUAAUCUGCGAUAAGCGCCGGUAAGGUGAUAUGAACCGUUAUAACCGGCGAUACCCGAAUGGGGAAACCCAGUGUGACUCGUCACACUAUCAUUAACUGAAUCCAUAGGUUAAUGAGGCGAACCGGGGGAACUGAAACAUCUAAGUACCCCGAGGAAAAGAAAUCAACCGAGAUUCCCCCAGUAGCGG